UUUCAAGCUUCCAAGCUCCAUAGUAAGUGAUUCCAAGCCCCGUUUUUAAUGUUCUUUACGUUUUUGGAAUCCCGGUAGCUCGAUUAAGCUUAUGCUAGCAAUAAUUCAACCUAGGAUUUAUAUUUGGAAAAAAUACCCAUAGGUGAAAUUUGUGUAUUUUGAUGUUUUAUGAUAGAAUAUGAGGUUUUAAAUUAUGUUAGACAACUUGUGCUACUCGGUUUUGAGUGAAAACGAGUAAAAGGGCUUAAUCGGCAAAAAUACCUAAUAGUCACAAGUAUAUGUUAGAGAGAGAAUUUGAUGUUGCCAUAGAAGGGAAAAGUGAUCAGCAUGUUAUAAAACAUAAGAAUAAGGAAUAAAGUUUAAUUUCCGAGCCUAGGGGCAAAAGUGUAAUUAUGCAAAAGUUUAGGGGCAAAAGUGUAAUUUUUCCAAAGUUCGUAUUAAAUGCUGUUUUGAUGAAUGUAUGUAUUAAAUAAGAUUAAUUUGGCAUUAUAGAUCAAGAGAAACGAGAUUCAAGUCGCGAUCGAGGAAAAGAAAAGAUUGUGGACUAAAUUGCAAAAUCUUUAUAUUUUGGUACCAAGGUAAGUUCAUGUGUAAAUAAUGUAGCAUAAAUGUUAUUUUUAAGUUAUUAAUGUUAAUUAUAUGAUAUGCUGAUUUUUAAUCAUGAAAUAUUAUGCUUUGUGGUUAAUGUUGAGUAAUAUGCAAAUUAUGUUUACUACUUGAUAAAUAUGAAUUGCUACUGAGUAUCGGUUCCGAUAUUCCAUGGAAGACGACAAAUGUGAGAUCGAGGGAAAAAGCCCGUUUGAACCUUAGGAAUAUAUUAGGAUACAAGUGACAUGUCACUAGGAUGGUUGAGCAUCCGAACUCGUUGAGUUGAGUCCGAGUUCACCUAUGGAUGCGAAUGUCCGAACUCGUUGAGUUGAGUCCGAGUUCGUGAAAUGUAACUAGGCAUCCGAACUCGUUGAGUUGAGUCCGAGUUCACUUAUGGAUGCGAACGCCCGAGCUCGUUGAGUUGAGUCCGAGUUUACUUAGGGGCGGGUUACAUGAUUUGUUGAUUACAUAUGAGGCACUUAUGUGCAAAUUAUCCGUGUAUCCGAGUUGUAUUCCGAUGUGUUCAACGGGUGAAAUUUCUAGUGAAAUGGAAGAACACUUAAGAUGCAACUGACGUUUUGGUAAGUGUUGUGAAAUGGACACUUUGGACAGGUAUGUUCUUAACCCUCGGGUUGAAAAUAGAUACAACAACGAUAAGGUGGUAAGAUGAUGAAUGAUGUUUAGAAAUGUGAUAUAUGUUUUGGUGAUACCAUGCUAAAGUUGUUUGGUAUAUUUGUAUUGUUAUGUUACUUGUUAUUUACAUAUGAAUUUACUAAGCAUUUAUGCUUACUCCUUCCUUUUCAUUCACUGUAGUUUUGAACAAGCCGGCUCAGGAAUUAGGACAGGUCGAAAGUUCGAUCACACUAUCCAAAGGACUUUUAUCUUGGUAAAUGGCUUGUACAACUACUUAAGUAUGGCAUGUAUAGCAAUAUACUUAUUUUGUGUAAAUAAUUUUAUGAUAUGGCCAUGUUUGGUUGAGAAAAUGUUUGAUAUUGAUAAGUCAUGGUGAUGGCUAAUUUAGAUCAUGUUUGAUAUUAUGGAAGUUUAAUAGGUUAUUUAGUUCAUAAAAAUUCAUGGAAAGAUGAAACUUGCCUUAAAACAGAAUAUUGCUGCAACAAUGACAUGAAUUUGAAAAAUCACUAAAAAUAGUAUAAAUGGAACUAAAUAAUGAGAAAGUUAUGAAAUUGAAGCUUAAUGAGUCUAUUUUCAUGUGGAUUGAACAAAACAGGCAUAUAAAUUAUAUUUUAUGAGAUAUUUAAACUUUUGUGAAACAGGGGCAGAGUGAUUUCUGGAUCCCCUAUUCUGACUUUAAAAAUUCAUAAUAAAUUUUAAAAAAAAUAAUUAUAGUUGUUAUUUAUAUGUACAGAUUACUUAUUGAGUCUAGUUUUAAGAAACACAAACCUCGUAGUCAUUGAAAUUCUGUAUAGAGAGAUAUCUGAUUCGUAAUACACAUAUAUUAGAGCAGUCGAUCCCUGAAACAGGGGAGACUUUAACUAAUAAACUGUACUAAUUGGCCCAACCAAAAAUUCUAGAAAAAAAUUAGUAAAUAUAUAUAUGAGUCUAGAUUUAUGGAAAAUUUACGGAUCUUGAUUUUGAGUUUCGUAACUCGAGAUAUGAUUUUUCUUGUAACUGUGACGCGGGUAGUUAGAAAGCUGUGAAUGUAGAAACAAAUAAUUUGAUAAAUUAUGUUCGGUAACCCCUCAAGCUCGACUCCGACGAUGGUUUCGGGUGUGGGGGCGUUACAGUUUUCGUGAUGAGAUUGAAGCUAUGGUUAGACAAUUCAUUUGGGGGUCCACUAGUGGUAAUAAAAGAAUUACUUUGGUAAGCUGAGAUUAGGUUUGCCAACCUAAAUCGCAUGAGGGUCUUGGUAUAAGGUAUCUUCAUGAUCAUAAUACUUCUUUCAUAAUGAAGCUAGGAUUUAAAUUAGUGACUGAUCAUUCUUCUUUAUAGGCUAAUGUGCUUCGGUCUAAGUAUGGGGUUCAAGGUGGAUUACCAGAGUCUUGUGGAGAUCUUUAUUGAAGAUUUGGCCGCUCAUACGUGAGAAUUUGCUCUGGUCAGUUGAUGAUGGAU
rnacentral:lncRNA from 1 species